AACGAACGCUGGCGGCAUGCCUAACACAUGCAAGUCGAACGAGACCUUCGGGUCUAGUGGCGCACGGGUGCGUAACGCGUGGGAACCUGCCCUUAGGUUCGGAAUAACUCCCCGAAAGGGGUGCUAAUACCGGAUAAUGUCUUCGGACCAAAGAUUUAUCGCCUUUGGAUGGGCCCGCGUUGGAUUAGCUAGUUGGUAGGGUAAAAGCCUACCAAGGCGACGAUCCAUAGCUGGUCUGAGAGGAUGAUCAGCCACACUGGGACUGAGACACGGCCCAGACUCCUACGGGAGGCAGCAGUGGGGAAUAUUGGACAAUGGGCGAAAGCCUGAUCCAGCAAUGCCGCGUGAGUGAUGAAGGCCUUAGGGUUGUAAAGCUCUUUUACCCGGGAUGAUAAUGACAGUACCGGGAGAAUAAGCGCCGGCUAGCUCCGUG
rnacentral:rRNA from 1 species